ensembl:lncRNA
UAUCUUGAAAAUGUAUUUCUACCUCCAUAGAACAGCAUAUCACAUUUUAACGUUCCCUAAAGUAACAUGCUGGGACUGUAAGGGGGGAUUUAGCUUUCAUAGCAGGCUUCAUGAUCAUGCAAUUGCACCCAAAAAAUUUUUUCAUUCCAGGAUCAAUACAGUUAGAAGAGACCUGAUCAGAAAAUUGUAAUUAAGAAAAGGUCUGGGCUUCCCGGUGAUCGUCAUUCCCUGGAUGGGGCUUCGGGAGAUGAACUCCCUUAAAAGAAGGAGAAGCCUGUCAGGUUCUGUGACCCACCUGGCAACUCCAGCCAUCUCCUACAUCUACAACUGCUUGAGGAGCCAGGAACCUCUCCUGUGGGGCCAGUCCAUGCAGCAGGACGCAGAGAGCAUCAGUGAAUGGAAACUUAUGACGGCAGAAACAAAUUAAAGACAGUUAAUGUCUCCAUUAUGCUCCUGUUUCUCUGGUUCGCUCUUGUUUUUAUCACUUGAGAAAUAUUGCUAAACUGAGUCCCAUUGUAUUAUGCUCUGAAUUGGAAAUUGUUACACAUGCAUUUGUUUCAUCUCAUUUGCACUAUUGUAAUUGUUUGUUCACUUGUUUAUGUAAGGCCCCCUUGGAACAUCUGCUGGGUUGUUCAGAAUGCUGCUGCAAGGUCUCUGACCAAGUCUUCUAACUACUCGCAUGUCACGCACCUGCUGAUGCAGCUGUACUAGCUCCCCAUUAAAUUCAGAGUCCACUUUAAGAUUAUGACUUUGACAUUCGGGGCUCUGCAUGGACAAGCGCCAAAAUCAACAUCAGAGAUAGUUUACAUCCGUACAUCCCUAGCAGGUCCCUGGGGUCAUGUGAUCAGUUCUUGCAGGUUGUCCAUAAAACUAAGCUGAAAACGAAAGGUGACAGAGCUUUUGUAACUGUGGCCCCAGACCCUGACACUCUCCCUCUUUGAGUUUGAGAUCUGUGGACUCAGUGGUCUCUUUUAUAAAACAGCUAAAACUCAUUUUUUUAAAAACUUGCUUUUGGUUCAGUUUUGUUUUAUCUUUUCUAAAGCACUUUGUGAUUUUUAUCUCGAAAGGUUCUAUACAAAUAUAAUUUCACUUACUUACUUAAAUCUCCAUUAGCUGAUAUAAGAGCUGACUGACAGGCUGUUGGGCA